UACAGAGGGUGCGAGCGUUAAUCGGAAUUACUGGGCGUAAAGCGUGCGUAGACGGUUAUGUAAGUCAGGUGUGAAAGCCCCGGGCUCAACCUGGGAAUUGCAUUUGAGACUGCAUAGCUAGGGUGCGGAAGAGGGAAGCGGAAUUUCCGGUGUAGCGGUGAAGUGCGUAGAUAUCGGAAGGAACAUCAGUGGCGAAAGCGGCUUCCUGGUCCAGCACCGACGUUCAGGCACGAAAGCGUGGGGAGCAAACAGG
rnacentral:rRNA from 1 species